GUGGGGAAUAUUGGACAAUGGGCGCAAGCCUGAUCCAGCCAUGCCGCGUGAGUGAUGAAGGCCUUAGGGUUGUAAAGCUCUUUCACCGGUGAAGAUAAUGACGGUAACCGGAGAAGAAGCCCCGGCUAACUUCGUGCCAGCAGCCGCGGUAAUACGAAGGGGGCUAGCGUUGUUCGGAAUUACUGGGCGUAAAGCGCACGUAGGCGGAUAUUUAAGUCAGGGGUGAAAUCCCAGAGCUCAACUCUGGAACUGCCUUUGAUACUGGGUAUCUCGAGUAUGGAAGAGGUAAGUGGAAUUCCGAGUGUAGAGGUGAAAUUCGUAGAUAUUCGGAGGAACACCAGUGGCGAAGGCGGCUUACUGGUCCAUUACUGACGCUGAGGUGCGAAAGCGUGGGGAGCAAACAGGAUUAGAAACCCUGGUAGUCC
rnacentral:rRNA from 1 species